rnacentral:rRNA from 1 species
AGCGCGAUGAGGGAAUCCCAAGUGCUUGCUCGUAAGAGUAAGCUGUUUUUAUGUCUAAAAAGCAUAGAGAGUAAGGGCUGGGUAAGACGGGUGCCAGCCGCCGCGGUAAUACCUGCAGCUCAAGUGGUGAUCAUUAUUAUUGGGCCUAAAACGUCCGUAGCCGGUUUGGUAAAUGCCUGGGUAAAUCGUGUAGCUUAACUAUACGAAUUCCGGGUAGACUGCCAAACUUGGGACCGGGAGAGGCUAGAGGUACUCCUGGGGUAGAGGUGAAAUUCUGUAAUCCUAGGGGGACCACCAGUGGCGAAGGCGUCUAGCUAGAACGGGUCUGACGGUCAGGGACGAAGCCCUGGGGCGCGAACCGGAUUAGAUACCCGGGUAGUCCAGGGUGUAAACGCUGCUUGCUUGAUGUUAGUUGGGCUCCGAGCCCAAUUAGUGUCGGAGGGAAGUUGUUAAGCAAGCUGCCUG